rnacentral:rRNA from 1 species
AACGAACGCUGGCGGCAUGCCUAACACAUGCAAGUCGAACGAGACCUUCGGGUCUAGUGGCGCACGGGGGCGUAACGCGUGGGAACCUGCCCUUAGGUUCGGAAUAACUCCCCGAAAGGGGUGCUAAUACCGGAUAAUGUCUUCGGACCAAAGAUUUAUCGCCUUUGGAUGGGCCCGCGUUGGUUUAGCUAGUUGGUAGGGUAAAAGCCUACCAAGGCGACGAUCCAUAGCUGGUCUGAGAGGAUGAUCAGCCACACUGGGACUGAGACACGGCCCAGACUCCUACGGGAGGCAGCAGUGGGGAAUAUUGGACAAUGGGCGAAAGCCUGAUCCAGCAAUGCCGCGUGAGUGAUGAAGGCCUUAGGGUUGUAAAGCUCUUUUACCCGGGAUGAUAAUGACGGUACCGGGAGAAUAAGCACCGGCUAACUCCGUG